AAGCCUACCUCAAGAUAAGAUUUCCCUAGGACUUUAUGUCCUCUAAAGAGCCGUUCGAGACUAGGACGUUGAUAGGUUGGAUGUGGAAGCAUAGUGAUAUGUGAAGCUGACCAAUACUAAUUGCUCGUGAGGCUUGACUAUACAACACCCAAGCAGUUG
rnacentral:rRNA from 1 species